GCACUUUGGCGUAACUAUGGGGUCUGUAGGUGGUUUUGAACAAUUCUGGGGUCCAAACAGAAUCGGCGUCUUCCCGAACGCGAAGUCUGUCGCACCGCUAUUCUCACCCGCCGUUGUCACCAGCGAAUUAUCUGCAACUUCCACCGAGUAAUUUUCAUGUUACAUCUGUUCUAUGGUGGUAAAGUGAAAGAAACUUCAGAAUGAAUUUCGAACUUGGAUAUUAAUUUGUUAUGAUAAAUGAAGAUAUGUCAGAUUCAACGAGGCGGCGAUAAUGGAUGAAGCUCUUUCAUCUGAUAAUAGGACGCAGGUUUUCUGAACUAACGAUGAUCUCUUAUACUUGCAAUCAUCAAUUUAGAUCUUCUUAUGUACUAUACAUAUUUGUUUUUUCGCUAGGCUAUUCUCUCUAGAAAGUGAUAAAGCUUCAACGAAACUGGUACUAAUUGAUCUUGAAGACGAGGAUGAAAGUUUUUCCUCAAUUGUUCUUCUAGAUAAGCACAUACAAAGGAAUGCACAUCGAUUUUGCAUCUUCUCCAAAAUUGUCCUAGUACUUAUUUAUGAGGAUUUCGGAAUAUGUAGUAAUGUAGAUAGGAUAUUGAUCUUGCAAACACUUAGCUGAAAAAUGUGUAUUAACAGCUGUUAGUUGAUUCACAUUGCUCAAUUAGGGCGAUUAUGUGGAAUGAAGUUUUGGACAUUCGGUACUUGUAUAUUCUCAGUCUGAAAUUUGAAAUGAGUGUUACGCUUAGCUAGCUGCUUGCCAUCAUAUAAGGUUCAACAAUUUACUUUACUAUGAAUUUUUCUUUUUUAUCAUCUCUUAUGACUUUAGCUUUCAAUUGAUUGAACUUCUCUUAGAGCAUAUCAGAAGAAACAUCACAAUGCAAAUAACGGAGAACACAUCAAGUUAAGGUACUAGAGAGUAAAAGAGCUCCCAAAACCUUCCUGGAGCUAUUGCAUGAGUGUAGAAUUUCCCUGGCUUCUAGAUGCUAUCUAUCUCAAUUCAGUGAGAUUGUUUAACUAACCUCUCUCCAUAUUAUAAAUGGGGAAAACGCACACAUGUAUUCCUUCCCACCAAAUGUACCAACCUCUUCAUCAAGAGCAGCAGAAGGACCUCCAAACUCCAACUGAUCCCCGCUGUCAUUUUGCAGAGUUUGUGAUUUCUCAUCUAAAUUUACAUGUAUGCUAUGUGGGAUGUGUUUCUGUGCGAUCUGAUUCCAAACCAUCCACAAUGAUACCCGCUUCAUAAUAUUUGUUGCUUGAUUUGUUAAGAGGUGCAAGCGAAUUGAAUGGGUGGUCAGUCCUGUCUUUACUCGUUGAUAUCUUGUACUUGAGCAUUAUUUAGUUGCUUGUCCAUGCCCCUUCUGUACAUACAAUAGUUGAUAUAGUCGUACCAAUCUGACUUGAAUUGUAAAUUUGUAGAUUCCAGCCCUUUUCUCGAGCACCUGUUGUCGUAUAAUGUUUAUUUCACAUCUUACUAAAUCUGAUAUUGGAUUUUUCAGUUCUAACAGACUCUUCAACAAAUUAGUUGACAAUGAAAUGAUCUUUUUCUCACCUUGUAAUUUCCCAUUGUUGUGCCUUCGCCUCAAAUUGCAACUGUUUCCACGUGGUAUCAUACAGAGGGCAUCUUUUACAGUAUGUAAUAUUUUCUUUCUUGAGAAACAAACCUCCCACACCCUGUUGUAUAGAGUUUCACCACUUUUGGCCAAUUUUCACUGUUCUUAGGUGAGGUGUUUUUAAAAUACACUAGGCAUGCUAUUCAUAAUCAGCUUAAGAUGAUACUUCGAGGAAGUCUAGGAAAAUUUCUUUCACAUGGAUGUUCUCAUCAGUGUCCUAUUGACUAGAAACAGAAACAGAAACUUUGCAAUUUGGCUUGGUAAGUUAAAGCUUCUACAUUUGUUUGCAGUCAUUACAAGAUGGAUAUGCCAGCUUAAGUGAUCCAGGCUUAUAUAGAGACUCUCUUUGCUUUAAGAUUACUGCUAUCCUCUAAUCAUGAUCUUUGUCAUCUUUUUACAGUUGUGUUAAUAUGCAUUUUUCUUGUAUUGCACUCUCUCUUUUUCUCAGCAUGUUAACAAUGUUCGAAUAUAACCAUAGAAAUUCGACGGAAAAUGAGGGAACAUUUUUAUGCCUGUUUACAGUAGCACUUGGAGAAGAUUCUUAGGGUUCUCCAUUGUUAAGAAGGUAACUUUGUAAGGCUUAAUGCACAUACAUAACUGAAUUUUCAUUUGUUUAACUAUUAAUUGUGCAAAAAAAACAAUCUACUUUAGAGCUAAGACAUGGGAGUGUCCCAACUGCUAUAAUUAAUAAACGGCUGCGAGUUCCUGAAUCACUUUUCUUACUCUGAUCAGAUAACCAUUGGCUAUUGGCUGCUGAUGGAAGAAGGCGAAAGGUAUGAUGAACAACUUUAAUGCUUUAUCUACAGCAAUAUAUGUAGCAACUUAAUUUUAUAAUCUGGCAUUGCAGGUGUAGCUUUUUUAUCUUGCUUUCUAUUUAUCUCUUCAUCUUAUAAUUGGGAAUGCUUUACUUUAGAGUUGAGAAAAAGGUGCAACUCUCAAUAAGAAUUUCAGCUAUUAGUGGAUGCUAUAUAGAUUGACCUCUUUUCCACGUGCUAUUUCCCCUUACGAGGUGAACUGCUUAUUGUGGAUUUGUUCAUAACUAGUCUUGCAGCGUGAAUAAAAGAAGCUUUUUACUGCAUAUUGGUGGAGUCUGUCAAAGCAAAUUUUCCUUUAUUUUGAAGAAUAAUCAUAAAACCUGCAAUUUUAAAGUCUAUUUUCGGGAUAAAAAGAGCACUCAUAUUAGCAUUAGUUUCGUCAUUUUCAGAUGUGAUUGACUUGUGAUGGAAUGUAUGCGUCCACUAUCAGUCAACUGACCAGGUCCCUUGACUCAGCAAGAACAAUACUGAAGUGUAAAUGCUGGAUGUGAAAGACAUCUAUUGUUCAAAACGAAUUCUUUUUACUACUAUUUAUUUUCGAGCUAAUAGUGUCCUCCUCAAAUAAAACAUUAUCGAGAUAGGCAAAAGCUAUGUGAAAGUUGCAGAAUACUGGAAAUAAAAACAGAAGGCCAAUAUUUGUUUUUUUUUUUCAAGUUUUUCUAUUUCAUAAAACAUUCAUAAUCGUAAAAAAGAAAAGGUUCUCUAUUGACUGGUAUCUUUAUUUCACAUUCUUUUUGAUUCAUCAAAUCUAUACCUAUAGAAUUUUAUAAUCGGCUGUUCUGUAGAAAUGAAGAAAGAAAAUUUGUUGAACUUAAUAUAAAAAUAAAAAAUAAAAUAACGAAUCCCAAAAAUAUUCGAUUUCUAUUUAUGGUUCCACAUUUCAUUUACAUGCAAUAAAAUACCUCGAAAGGUUUAAAGAUAAGAACCGCGUUUUACUUCAGGAAAUGAAAAACUUGAAUCCCCGUUCGAUUCACUGGUCAAACUUGGAUAAAAAAUAGGCUUAUUUCAAAGGAGACUAGUAAUUAAUCCCUUUUAUAUCAUUUGACCAAUCGUAACUUCGUGAUUUGAAUAGUUGAAGUAUUUAGCAAAGACUCAGAAUAAGUAAGAAUAAAAAAUUCUAUUUAAGUUGGUCCAUAUUUUUACUUUUUAUUGACUCCUUUCAAAAGAGGUAAGAUCCGGUGAAUCGGAAACAAUUAAUUAAGAAUUCAAAACUUUUUUAUGGAACAGACAUAUGAAUAUGCGUGGAUCAUACCUUUCAUUCCACUUCCAGUCCCUAGUUUUACUAGUCUUCUCAAGCAAAAGUGAAAUACAGAUUACAACCACAAAAUAAGAUUAAGCUAUUAAUCUCAAAGCUAAGUAAUAACCCUAUUACUUACUGUGCCUAAGCAGAUAUCACACUGCCCACUAAGCUAUCAACCCUAGAUAACUUAGACUUCAACUAAGCAGAUACAACACUGCCCACUAAAUCAGCUAGCUCCUAGUUGACUUAGAAUUUGACUAAACAGAUAUAACACUACCCACUAAAUCAGUUAACUCUAACCGAUUUAGACUUUUACAAACCAAACAAAAGAUUUGAAUCCUUAUAGAUUAGGAACAAAUUUACAAUGUAAGCACAGAAGUAUGAAUCCUAAGACAACUAUGACACAUGCAGCUUUAUCAGGUCCUAUUGCUCUUUUGGAGGAUACUUCACGAAAAUGAGUUUUUGCUUGUGUACUUGAGAAUUUUCAAGAUGCAAAAUCUGAGGUUGUGUAUAUUGAAAUGAACCUUAUAAAAUGAUAGACACAAAACUCAAACUCAACAAAGGUGCUUCAACACUCUAUCAGGUCCCUUUGUUGAGCAUUAGUAUUGUUCUUCUUUGAAGAUGGCCUUUUCUUUUGAGCUUGUGAAUUUUCUUUGUUUGUCAAAUCUUGAGUUUGUGUUUUGGAGAAGAGACUAUCAAAAUGGACACAAACCCUUGGGACAAGGUCAUUGGCUGAAAGCCUGCUGUUAUGAAAAACUGUGCACUAACCACAUCAGAGUUGACAGCUUUUUGACAGCUGUCUUUUCAUCAUUUUCUCAUACGUAGACUUUCCGGGACCAAGUCCCUUGUUGCGUUCUUUAAAAAGACUUGCUAGCUCUCUCUCUUCUUGAAUGAAUAAUGUUAUUUGUUUAUUGUUGGAUAUAUCAGUUACCAACAAGGGUUUUUGACCACUUAAACAAACAACUUCGUCUGCCGUUCCUAUUGGUGAAGUACGCUACACAUCUCACCAACCAACCUGACAGCUUUACAGUUGUGCACCACUUUGAAUCUGGACGGAAGUACUCUGUCAAGGACCGGAUCCCUGCAUUUGUGAGGAUCAUUAAAACACUAGAAUAUAACAUUUUUCCCCUUUAUGAUGAAGACACACAAAUAUUUCUCAUGCCGAGUUUAUUCAUUCAUUUCCCUUUUCAUCAAUCCCAAUACCAUAAGGCAUUUUCUUGGAUCUGGUCCCUUGUUAGAUUCCUAAGUUUGUUAAAUCAUCAAAACUUAACAUCAGCUCCAAGUAACAACUUGUAUUCCUACUUCCUUCCAAUCAGAUUUCGUGAAGAAAAACUCUGAUAUAACUAGGCGAUCGAGCUAGCCUAGCUAACACGAAACCAUACUAUUUCCAUUUAAUUAGUGAUACUUUGAUAGGAAGAGAUGAUAAACGGAGACAAAUUGGGAACUUUAGACUCUAGUUCUCUCCCUCACUUCAUUGGUUAGUAAAUUUGUUCAAUUUUUUCGAGUAAAAUGUGAAAGCAUAUGGACAUUUGGGAUUUUACAUGUCUCAAAGCCACGAUGCUCUGACGUGGGAAAAACAAUUCAAUUUCUACAUAAGGUGCAUUCCUAUAGAUUAAUCUCUUUUCCUUUCCUAUUUCCAGUAAGAAUUUCAUGUGCUAUUUUGUUUUCCCUAAAUGGUUGCUCGUGAACUUUUUUUUAUCUGCACGUUGGUGAAGUUUGCCAAAGCAAUAUUGCCUUUAUAGUUAAAUAGUGGCUUUGGUGUUAUAGAUUUAAAUUAAAUUCGAACAUUAUCUAGAUAAAAAGGUGCCUUGUUUGAAUGGUAUAACAUCACUAAUAUUGCCACUAAAAUGUUUCUUCAACUAGGCAAUCAUACUUAACACGAAAUCGUUCUGUCUCCAAUUAAUUAAUGUCGCCAUAUUUUGAAAGGAUUAAAUAAAAAGGGAGGCAGUUUUUUUAGUUUCACACUCAUUUUUUAGAAGUUUUUACUUGCCCUUUCGUACUAUGCAAAUGGGAGAAAAUGUGAUUAGGGACUCUUUGGAAUGCUUACUAAACACUCUCUCUUAAGCAAAGCCAAUCACUUAAGCAAAUAGCUGCCCAUAUUAAUUAGAUUGACUUCAAUUCUUUAAUCUCAAGCUAAAAAUAUCUUUUGAUAUGAGUUUUUUUUUUUUUUUUUUUUAAUUUUAUAUAGUUCAAUUUCUUUCCUAAAUGGAUUGAUCAACCUCUUUCAUUAAAUUUGAAUAAUGUUAAGGAACUCGUAUUAAUCUUAGUAUACUGUUGAAGAAGAAGGAAGUUGACGAUUGGAAACAUCAUGAUAUUAUUUGAGAGUCAAAUUGUCAGGGCUUUAAUUUGGUUAUGUUGGACUCGAACAGCACAAAUCAUGUUAAUUUUCUUAUUUAAUUGCUUAGGGUAAGGUCAUAAUCAAACCAAAAGGAAUUAUGGUGAAUAUUCACACCCACAUAGUUAGAUUAUAAAAUGAUUGUGCUAAAAAACACAUUGAUGCUACAUAUACAUUACAAGGGAAAAACUUGAUUACAUACGCCAAGAAUGAUAUCUUAGACAUUCGAUCCUUUUCUAAUUGUCAUCAUGCAUCUAUUGGCCUUGGUUGACAAAUAUAAAAAUGAUAUCUUCUGCCUUCUAAUUGAACCUUGUCCACAUUUUCGUAUAUAAAAAUACGAAACAUCUUCGAUGUCAAUUAUCAAAAUUAAAUUAUAUUGCACCAUGUACGUCGGCAGUUAGGCUUUUUUCAACUUGGCUGUAUGCUCUUCUUCUUGUUCAUAUUAAUAUGAUACAAAAAUUAGUAAUGUCGUAAGUUUACUAUAAUAAUGGGUAAAGUUUUAUGACCACACACAUGAAAUUUAACAUGCUGCAAAAAUAGUGACAUCAAGAUUGUAAAAAAUGGAUAUGGAACAAGAGUAGUGGUUAAUAGGUAAUAGGUAAAAAAAAUAAAUUGUCCUUUCUUGAUUUGUCAAAAUAGACAAGUAAUUAGGAACAAAUGGAGUAACACCAUAGUAAUUAAUGUGACCUGAUAUUACAGUAUUAAUGGUUGAGCAUGGGCGGUGCCUUGUUACGAUAUAUUUAAGCAUUUUGGAUGUACGUGCGUACCGAAAAAAUCAUAGUUUUUUGGUUUGUUUAUAAUAUACUCUCCGUCCCAUAUUAAAUGAGCAUAUUAUUAAAAUUCGCUGUUUCAUAUUAAUUAAUUAAUUACUAAAUUAGGAUAGAAUUAAUUAAAAAAAUUCUAUCUUAUGUACCUACUAUUAAUAUAGCCUUUUGAAUAUAAACAAUUUUCAAUACUAAUUAUUUCUAAUAAAAUUGAUUAAUUUAUUAAUAAUUUCUUAAUUAUAAUAUAAAACAGAAAGUGUCCCUCUAACAAGGGAUAGAGAGAGUGUACCACACAACAAACCACCUUGAGAAGUUAAAGAUAUGAUGUAAUGUAAGCAUCAAAUAUAAAGUAUGAUGAAGCACAUGGUGCAACCUCCUCUCAACUUUGGGAUUUUAUUUUCCAAGUAUGGUGGCAUGUAAGAUAUUGUACGUAUAAAAUGAAAUUUUUCUUACGCACAGAUAAAUGGAGUUAUCUUUCCUUUCC
rnacentral:lncRNA from 1 species